rnacentral:tRNA from 1 species
UCCUUAAUAGCUCAGUGGUAGAGCAGUUGGCUGUUAACCGAAAUGUCAUUGGUUCAAAUCCAAUUUAGGGAG